UCUCGUCGCGUGUGUCCGUCCGCGAUCGGCCGCGAACAUUGCUGAACACGAGAGAAUCAUGGUUUCCGUGGGCGCGUGGAGGCGCCGCGCGCCCGACGACUGCGAGGAGCGCUCCGAACCCGGCGCCUCCAGCUCGGGCGUCCCUCGCGCUCCCCCCAACUGUGCCCGCUGCCGCAACCACCGUUUGAAGAUAGAACUCAAAGGCCACAAGAGAUACUGCAAGUACCGGAACUGCGCGUGCGAGAAGUGUCGCUUGACCGCUGAUAGGCAGAGGGUGAUGGCGCUCCAGACGGCCUUGAGGCGUGCCCAGGCGCAGGACGAGGCUAGAGCGCGGGCUGGGGUGCAAGCGAACGGUGUGGAGCUAGAUAGACCUGAUCCUCCGGCGGUGAAGAUGCAGAGGAGCCCAGUGCCACCGCCGCCGCGGUCCUUGGGGUCGGCCAGCUGUGAUUCAGUGCCUGGGUCCCCGGGAGUGUCACCGUAUGCUCCUCACCCACCACCGUCCGCGCCACCUUUACCCAAUAUGCCUCCGCUUCUGCCGCCACCACAACCUGCGGUAUCCCUAGAAAACCUGGUGGAAAAUUGUCAGAAACUUCUAGAAAAAUUCCACUACUCCUGGGAGAUGAUGCCUCUAGUCCUGGUCAUCCUAAAUUAUGCUGGCAGUGACCUGGACGAGGCGUCGCGUAAAAUAGACGAAGGGAAGAUGAUGAUCAACGAGUAUGCCAAAAAGCACAACCUGAACAUUUUCGACGGCCUCGAACUGAGGAACUCGACUCGCCAGAAAAUGCUGCGAAGCGAAAUUAAUAAUAUAAGUGGUGUACUAUCGUCAUCAAUUAAGUUAUUUUGCGAAUGAUACUUUAUUUUACAAGUGCGGUGUUGUGUUUGGACGCGAGUGCGCCGCUGUGUGCGAAUGCCGGACUUUUUUUACUUGCUACACUGGAUAUGUUGCCGGCGCAGGCGCCCACCGAGCCCUCCACCUCUACUUCUGGAGACAGCCCUGGCGAAUAAGUGAACGGGCUCCCCGACACCUGACAUUGACUAUAGUGAUAUGUGAACUGGACACACGCCAAGUGAACGUGUAUUUAGUUUAGACUCUUUCACCAUUUGUGACUAAAAGUGUUGUGUGAUGGUCUACCGUAUGUCUCCAAAGAUUAUAUGAAGUUUGUGUGGCAUAGACAUACAAUUAACUAGACUUACAUGCUUGCCUUGUUAAUGUAAAGUAAGAGUCAUUUUCGUGGGUUUAUUUUCAUACCAAAACGUAGUAACUUUUCUUGUAACGCGAAUUUCCAAAAUAAAUUACCAACCUUUGGAAAUAAUGGAGCAACAAUAAUCAUAAAAUUAAAAGAUAAAAAACUUUGUUUUUUUUUACUUAAUUUCCUAUUACAACUUUGGAAAUGAAAGCGAAUUUCUAGACCCAUAAUUUUAUCAUUGCUCUUCAUUCAAAUGGCUGUUAGUCGAAGUUUAGCAGGAAAUGUGGGCAUGAUCAAAAGAAGAAUUAAGAUUGUGAGUCUAGUUAAAUGUUUGUCUGUCAUUACUUACUGCUUUUAAAUAUUCUAUCCGGAAACAUUAUGCUAAUAGUCUGUACCCUUUUUUACGUCUGUACUUCAAUCAAUAUUUGAUGUGGAAAUACAUUUGUGAUGAUGGAAAAGAAUGAUUAAAUCGGAGAAAUGAUUAAACUAUCGAUUAUUUAGAGUUCUGCCUGCGCGUACGCAGUUUUGAGUGAUAUUUAGUGUGUAAGAUAUAGAAGUUGUUUUGCUAUUCUGAAAUUGAGAUGUUGGUUUUUUUAUUAACUGGACUGAAUUUUGAUGAUUACACUGUUUUUUUUUUCAAAAGGUCACGUAUAACAGAAUACAUUUUUUUUUUGUUUUAUGUUAUGACGAUGCCGUCAAAAAAAUAUACAUAUAUAUUUAAAGGCUUAUAUAUCAAAGCAAAAACGUGGAAUUUGAGUAUAUUUAAGUAUUUUCAUAAAGAUAAAAUAUCUGGUGGGUAUGUCUGUUUGUUUAAGGCGUUUCACAAAAAAAGGAGUAUUACUUUUUUGACAUCGUGUUCACGAAGAAUUAAUGAAAAAAGGUACGAGUAUUUAAUGUUAAACAGUCCAGUCAAUAACUCAAAAAAUUGAACAAUCUGUUAGAAUGGAAAACUGAAGCCUUGUAUUAAAUAAACUUCGAAAACAGACUAAAUAAAGUACAGAAUACAAAGUAAAUAAAUUAUAAGGCGCUUCCGAGUCUUAUUUGCAAAUUCUAUUUGUCCCAUUUUUAUUAAUGUAUUUAAUUAACUUUAAAUUCGAUUUUUUAUUACCGACAAGUUAUUUUUGUUUCAAAAUCUGAUCUGAAGAAUAUCCCGCUUUUUUUUCAACUGCUAGCGGAAUGUUAUCAUAUAUGUGAUACACCUACUUGCAAUAUGUUAUUUUACUCGUAAUAUUGUCGGAUGAACUUAUUUAAAAUUAGAUGUUAGGUAAUAAUAUAAGUAACUAUUCCAUUACAAUAGUCGUCGCACACGAACGUCCAACUCGGAUCCAUCCAGUUGCCCUUCUGUACUUUCUUUAUAUUGUGGUCGCUUACAUUUUAUAUUUAUACAUUCACGCUUAUGCGCGUGAUUUACAACGCGUAAUAAAAUAAUUUGACAUAUGUUGACGUUACUAUUAAUUCUUUACGAGCCGUCUCAUAUAUCCAUCCAAAUCAAUAUCCAUGUAUAAAUAAAACGUUUACAUGGCCCCAGAUAGUAGUAAUUGAAUGAUGAAAGUGUAUUUGCCGUGGACGUAAUUUAAUAUGUUUUAUCGACAGGGGUUCCGCCACACCUUGGAAUUCGACUAGAAAAGUGAUUCCCUCUUAUUCGUGGUAAUUCAGGGAGUUAUAAAAAGGAAUGUAUGUACAUACUUUUUUAGUAACAUAACUUUUUCAGAUACCGUGAGGAAAACUUACUGUAGUAACGAGUAAUAAUUUCCCUUCGAGGGUUGAUUCCAUUGUCUUUAUCUAUGAUAGCACGAUGAAUCAGAAAGCGUAUAUAUUCCACCGUAUAUUUUCGUAGCUAUAUAUGUAUAUAGGUAAUAUACAGGUGAUUACGCAGCUGUUUGCGCCGGGCGGAGCUCGAAGCGCCGCCCUCCGUGGAUAACAGCUAACACCCACUAGACACCAGCGUCCUACUUAAUUGCUAUUCGCGGCCACAUUUAUGAGCGUGACUGUACUGUUUGAUCAAAUUUUCGAAUUGAACGAAAAUGGGUUCUUUCAGAAUAUACCACGCAGACAUGUUUUAAAAAAUUGAAUUUCGAAAAGUGUAUUUGCAGUCGCACAAAUUUACCCUACUUAGAUGAUAUUUUUUAUAUAAACCCUACAUAGAUGAUAUUUUUUUCCCAUUUCGAAUUAAAAGUUUACUCCCGUGUUGAAUUUUUGAAAGUGCGUAAUUUGAAUUUAGAAAAAUUUGUCAAAAAUUUUAAAAUAAUAGCUAAUAAGAUUUUAAAAUAUUCUAAUAGUGACAAAGUGUCAUUGCUAGAAUACAAUCUUGACCUUGUCCUACUUUUUUAUCAAAUAACACGCAUAGAUAUGUAACUACUUAUAUUGUAUUUUGAAAUUUUUUGGAUAUUCCUUAUUCCGUAAUUUGUGGCGAAGCCCCUUAGUAACUUAAGCAGCCCCCUUUAUCUGAUUUCCGUCCACGUUCCUUUAUCUGAUAUACGAUGAAAUCCAAUUUGGUACAUUUAUUCAACCACAGUUCAUGGAUUUCGUAAUGAGGUUAAAAAACCUUAAAGUUUUUAAAUUAAUAGGCUAUUUUACACCAUGUAAAAAAAUAUAUAAAAAUGCACGUAUCUUAUAGAUUUUGUAAAAAAUAAAAGAAAAACAUCGAUCAUUAUUCAUAAAAGUGCAAUAUGGAUUUUAUAAUUCAAUUUAAAAAAUCCUCUUUUUUAAUCUGUUCUUCAAAAGUCGAAAACGCUAUCCGCCAUGUUGGGUACUGACGUGACGUCAUACUUUUAGUAAACAAAUAUCGAAUCGAAAACAUACUGAUGAUGUCAGGCUCUGUUUAUUUUGAAAUUUUAAAAUUUCUAUCACGUUUUUGGGUUUUUACUCUUUAAUAAUUUAAUAGAAUCAUGGAAGACGGUUUUGUGAAAGCAGACAAUAUAAAUCUACCGAGGAUUAAUACGUUGAUGGUGGCGAAAUUUUUUGCGUCCAAUCCCGAUUUCUGUUCUGCUGAGUUAAGAUUUUUCUGGUGUUUUUAUACUUGUAUUCUUGCAUUCAAGAACAAGACACCAACAAUAUGUAUUGUAAUUCAUUAUUACAAAAAUCUUUUUACUUUAGUCUUACGUAGAACCGUAUUGUUUACUAAAAGUAUGACGUCACGAGUCAAAACAGCAUGGCGGAUGGCGUUUUCGCGCGAAAAUACAAAAUCAUAAAUAAUAAAUCGUUUUUAGAGCACUUUUCGGCUUCAAAAAAUUUUAAUAAAAAUUCUAUAGGUAUAACACAGUCUCAGGAUUGAUUUAAAACAGUUUUCAAAAAAGAGUGUAAUAGCCUAUUACCUACAUGAAUUUUUUCGUUCCAAAUUGAUAUUUUAUUUGUAAUGUAAAACACACAACCCAUCUUUUCUAAAUGUUGGAGGUUAAUUAAAUACUAAUUAUUGUUUGUUUAACAGACAAAAAUUUAAUGUAUAAUUUUAAUAAGUAGGUAUGUUGUUAAACGAAAUUGUCAACGUUCGAAAAACAUGUACCUAAGCUUACAAUGUUUUUAGAAAGUAGCAAACCAUCCAUCCAAUUUUUCAUCCAUUUUUUAAUAUCGAUAUCGCAACAUCACUCGUUAAAUCAUCACAAUGACCUUUUUUAUCCGACUUAAAGGAUAAAUUACCUAAUUAUGUACAUAUUUCCUUAUAACAAUGAAAAUAUUUACAGUAAGUAUCAGAUGACGUUGAUUGGAUCUCAUUUCGUUUUUACCGUAUAACGUAUUUGAAAAUUUAAUUUUGUUUAGAAUAUGUAUCAUGUUAUGAUUACAUAAGUAUAAAUUAAUAGUGAUAUAUUUUUAUGAGGGCUGUAGACAAAACAAAACGUAUUUGCUAGUCGCAAAGUAAAAAAAAGAACGAAUUUAGUUUUUAUUUGUCCGAGUGCCCAGUGAUAUUAUUUAGGAUAUUUAAAUUUUGAUCGUCCAAUUAAUACAUUUGCCUAACUAUAACGUCAUUCUGAAAUGUUUUUUAAUAAAACAUUUCAACAUUUACCCAGUACGUAGUACAUACCUACAAUGAUUUGUGUUCUUAUCGAAUAAGAUGUCAGUUUUGAUAUUGUUAAUUCACGAUUACCACGAUAUUAUUUAAAACUCUAAAGCUACGUCAUUAUAAUAGUUUUUUGUAAAUAUAUUGUAUAUAAUAUUAGAAUUACAAUUUUACUAUGGUGAAGUAUUGUUCCUUGAAAGGUGGCGGACGAGAGCUCAAAAUUUGUUAUAUGGCAAUUCUUAAAAAUAAAGUUAUUCCUGGAUUGUGUAUGAUCACAUGAGUACAAAUAGGAAUAAUCGGUUAAUCGAUUAUUUGUUUAAUUUUACUUUUUUGACAUAUAUUACAUUCAAAAUAUCAACAUGAUCGAAAUAAUAUAAUGAAAUAAAUUAAAUCUAUUUUCAAUUCAUAUUAAAAUAAGAAUUGUCUUUUUGCACAUUUUGAGCGUAAUUUUUCUAAGGACAAACAAAUUUAGCUUCUAUUUCCUUAAAAUAAUGUAAAAAAUAAAUCAUUUUUGUUGAUACUGGUGUAAGAACUGAAGUUUUUAUUAUUAAUUAUUAUUUAGAUUGUAAUUGUACAUUGUGAAUGGAUCCUAAUAAUUGUAAGAUCUUGUAAUUUCCCUUAGGCUAGUUAAAGUAGAUUUGUCAUUAUUACUUAUUUAUGAUCGUUAAAAUGAUAAGUAUUUAGAAAUUUAAUCUUCCGCCCAUCGAUUCGUGGCAUCACAUUUUUUGAUGUAGAUAACUAAUUGUCUUCAUAUUUGUCCAGUUCAACUCAACGGUCCAUUAAAUUUAAAGCGAGUCGGUUAUUAUAGCAACUGAAUCACGUAAUAAUCAAUUAUAGGAAAAAAACAUUUUAUUGUGUUUUUAAGUUGUUUAAAUUAUGCUGGUACUAUCAAAAUUUCAUUUGUUCAGCUCUUAUAUUGAGUCCUCUCUGGUAAAUGGAGUCCGUAAAUGAUACACACGUAA